rnacentral:rRNA from 1 species
GGGCCCGCACAAGCGGUGGAGUAUGUGGUUUAAUUCGAUGCAACGCGAAGAACCUUACCAGGGUUUGACAUCCUGCGAAUCUCUUGGAAACAGGAGAGUGCCUUCGGGAACGCAGUGACAGGUGGUGCAUGGCUGUCGUCAGCUCGUGUCGUGAGAUGUUGGGUUAAGUCCCGCAACGAGCGCAACCCACGUCUUUAGUUACCAAUUCGUUGGGUUCUCUAGAAAGACUGCCGGUGACAAACCGGAGGAAGGUGAGGAUGACGUCAAGUCAGCAUGCCCCUUAUGUCCUGGGCUACACACGUGCUACAAUGGUUAAGACAAAGAGUCGCGAGCUCGUAAGAGUCAGCUAAUCUCAUAAACUUAGCCCAAGUUCAGAUUGUAGGCUGCAACUCGCCUACAUGAAGUUGGAAUCGCUAGUAAUCGC